rnacentral:lncRNA from 1 species
UGAUUCUUGCAUCUAUCUUUUUAUUCUAAGUUCUUUAUUACAAGUUUAAAAAUGAAAGAAAUGUCGAAGAGUUUUGGUUUCUUCAUCUUAGCUUUAUUUGUGGUGGCAAGCAUUGAAAGUGUGCUGAUUUCAAGCACAAGAAUUGGCCAAGAAUCUAAUAAGCUUUCUAAUUCUGCCAUUCCUGCACCAUCACCUGCUGACAAUGAUGAUUGCUCAGGGCUUACACCCGAAGAGUGUUUAAUUAAGAAGGGCGAGGAUGAGGAGGCCCAUCACAGAGUCUCAUUCCCUUGCCUUUGUCCCGGCUACGGAUGCUCUGAUUAUGCUUGUUAAUUUGUUGUUUCUAUUAUGCCGUAUAACUACUUUUGUAACAAUUUGCCGUUAAGCAAAGAAAAAUGAGUACUCUUGCAAUAAAGAAUCUUUUGUUAUUCCUUUUAUUGUUCACUUGAUAAGAAAAGAAAAAAGAAAUUAAAAAGAUAAUAUAAGUCAACAGCUAGUUAAGAUUUGUGUUUUUUUGAAUAAGAUCAAUUACCUCAAUAUUAGGGAUGGCAAAAUUCUCCACCGGUUUGGAGUCCUAUGGUGCCCCAUCCUAACUGGGGUGAAUUUUGAAUGAUUUUUGAAGAAUGUGAUGA